AUCGUAUUUUUAAUCAAUCCUAUAUAAUUUGCUGAGGAUAACUCAAAUUUUUUAUUUAUACAAAGUAAUUUGCAUGUUUACAAUUGCUGUAUUGAGAGAAUAUAUAUCAUAGCUUUUUGGAAAAGUUUAGCAAUCAAAUAUAAAUGUUAACAUAGUCUAUAUCGAUUAAUCAAAUAUGUGUAUUCUACAGAUAAACUGAUUUAAUCGCUUUUUUUUACAGCGUCUCGAUUAUCCUUCCAUGAUAAAGUACAUGUUCCAUUUUUACAUUCUUUUAUUAAUUCCGGAGAUGGCUCGUCCCCCUUGGCCUCUUUCCCGUUAUUCCUUAAUUGCCACCAUUUGAUCAAUAAUGGUUGUAUGAGAAAUCUCCAUAUUAUUAGAAAUAUAGGAACAGCAAAGCAUGGUACACACACCAUUUUGUGUAUAUAUAACUUUUAUAAUCUAGAAUUAUACAUGUAUAUUUUAUUUUAAUAGAAAAUAACAUUCUUAUCUAAGAAAUAUUACAGUUAUACUAUACGCCUUUGAUUACAGUUAUUUUAAAAAAUGUUUAUAUUUUUGACAUUUUGCAUUUCGAAAAAGAUCGUUACCUUAGAAAACAGGUAGAAGUAACGCUAUAGCGAAUUUCUACGGAAUAAUUGGGCGAAUGUGACAAGGAAAUCGAUACAGGCAUAACCUGAACGAUAUCGUCAAUAUGUGCGAGACUUUGUGUAUCACCGACACUUUGAUGUUGUCGAAAAAUAUAUCAGUCUAAAUGCCAGAUUGUCGCGCUGAUGAUUAUCAGCACUAUAUUAAUGCACUUGUAAUCGUAAUAUACGAAAAUUGUUUUGUUAUACGUUUUCAUAUAAGUUUACAGUUUUCACAUUUUUAUCAUAUCUUCAUUAUCAGUGUUUGCCGUUUGCAGCGCCGCGCUGAGCGCGACUAGGCUUGGACUAGUGUUAAAUUUAAUACGCAUGCGCGUAUAAAUUAUCAACUGCAUAGAUGUAACUAAUUAGAUAUAAUGAUUAGAGAAUACAGCAUACGAUCGUAUUUGCUACACACGAUCUCUAAUAUUUAAUUAUAUACAUAAGGACAUGGUCACAGCCAUUCAUUGCGAGAUUAUAGGAUAUUUCUACAUCUAUAUAAGGAUAUUCUAGAUAUAUUAAAAUAUAAUGUAUCGUUCACGGAACUCUUCGACUGGUCAAAGUUUAGCAAAGGAAAAAUCCUAAGCACUGGGUUGCUGUGAGUGAUUAUUGUGAUAACAUAUGUGGGAUGCUUCCGCGCAAUUUCAAGGAAUGGUUGCAUCCGGAUGAGAGAAAUCAUCUUUGACUCUUAAAUACUUCCAAACACCUUACGACCUCUCGUUACGCAUAACGAGACGACGAUGACGCUUAAUACGAAGAAAAUUAAACCAAAAAGAGUAGUGAGGGCUCUGCACCAUUGCCGUUUUCGUUUCGCCUUUGCGAUUGUUCGACUUAAACGCUCCGCACGUGUUACAUCGAGAGUGAAAUCGAAAUCUUCUCCGAAGCCUCUGACGGCCAAGCGACGAUUCCAAUCGUUCGACGAGGCGAUCGUUUCUUCGCUAGACGAGCCAAUGUCGCUGUAAUCCAGCUGCUGGA